UAAGGGAAGGGAGGGAGUGAAGGAGAUGUGAGGGAGGUUGGGAACAUUAGGAAAUGCCUUUGUACUGCAGUGGACCAAUAAUAAUGGCUGAGGAGGAGGAGGAGAAGGAAGAGGGAGGGAUGUACACCUUUCAUAGGAAGCUCAGUCACAGCAAACAGGAGUCACUGAGGAGCUCUGUGCCUUGUCUUCAGAGGCCGUGGUGCUGAGUGAGUCUCCGAGGCUGUGUCUGGUGUGUGACGAGCAGGUGGAGCAACACGCAGCCUUACGGAAGGAGUGGCAUGGGUGACGCAGAGGCUCUCACUCAGGUGGUGCUGCCCGUGGCCUACCAGUUCAACCCACAGCUGGUCCUGGUCACUGCCAGCCUUGAUGUUGGUGCGGGGACCCACUAGGAGGUUGCCGCGUGAGUCCCGAUUGCUUUGAACAUAUGAUGGCCCUUCUGUCUGGCCUGGCCGAGGGCCGCAUAGUUCUGGCACUGGAGGGCGGCUUCACCCUCAACACCAUCAGCUACUGUAUGACGCUGUGUGCCAAGGCCUUGCUGGGGGACCCGCUGCCCCCCCUUGAGCCCCAGCUGGUGCCCAACAAGAGUGCCGUGCAGACCACCAAUGACAUCAUCCGUACCCACAGCUGCUACUGGCCGGCGCUCUGCUUCAAGAAAGAAGAAGCAGAAGAAGAAGAAAAGAAGAGAAGGAAGAGAAGGAGAGGGUGUAUGUGUGUGUGUGUGUUAUAUGGACAAAAUUUAAACUGAUUUCUUUCAACAUAUAUUUUAUUAUUAUUAUUGAAAGACAAACUUCUUCUUCACUUCCUCCUUCUUCUUCUUCUCUUUCAUCUUCUUCUUCUUCAUCUUUUGUCGGGGUUCUGAUAGGAAGAGAAAUAAUAAAAAUAAUGAGAAAGAAUUAGCUCAAUAGAGAAAGAGGGGGGGGGGACCCA